AUGAAACUGUUAACCAAUUACAUUGGAGAACAUCUCCAUAGAUUUAACGAGAAGUCUCAAGCAGAAAGGUGUUUACUUGAUAUAUGCACAGAUAAAAUCCUGGAAACAAUUUCUGUUAAACAGAGUUACCAAGAAGAACUAAGUGCAGUAGAUUUUCGAGAAUAUUUCCAAUUAAUGAAAAGGUUCAAGAACAAUGAGAUUAAUCUGUAA